rnacentral:rRNA from 1 species
AUUGAACGCUGGCGGCAUGCUUUACACAUGCAAGUCGAACGGGCUUGGGGGCUUGCUCCCAAGUUAGUGGCGAACGGGUGAGUAAUACAUCGGAACGUACCGUGUAGUGGGGGAUAACGUAGCGAAAGUUACGCUAAUACCGCAUACGAUCUACGGAUGAAAGCAGGGGACCUUCGGGCCUUGUGCUAUACGAGCGGCCGAUGUCUGAUUAGCUGGUUGGUGAGGUAAAGGCUCACCAAGGCGACGAUCAGUAGCGGGUCUGAGAGGAUGAUCCGCCACACUGGGACUGAGACACGGCCCAGACUCCUACGGGAGGCAGCAGUGGGGAAUUUUGGACAAUGGGCGAAAGCCUGAUCCAGCAAUGCCGCGUGUGUGAAGAAGGCCCUGCGGGUUGUAAAGCACUUUCAGUGGGGAAGAACGGAUACGGGCCAAUACCCGCAUCACUGACGUUACCCACAGAAGAAGCACCGGCUAACUCCGUGCCAGCAGCCGCGGUAAU